UGGUAACUAUAUCAACCAUAGUAGGACGGCGGUUGAGCCUGAAAGCAGGCUUCGCAACAAUGGAAUCAACUGUAAACAACUAGACUUGGGCGGAGGCUGGACGGGGCCGCUGCGCGUUGGGGAGUUCUUUGCCUCUCGCCUUCGUCCCUUAAUUCCGUAUAACAGGACACCUCGGCGGCCGUUAUCCCUUACAUUUCAACUUAAAGAAACAACAUGUAACACUGACAGCAAGUGUUUUUUACUCAUCUAUGACAGUGAACUGAAUGAGGUGCCAGGUGAUCUAAUUGAGAUCAUCAGGGGUAAAUUCAGUCACUGAGCACUGCUGGAAAUGGAUGUUAUUCAUGUCACAGUAGAUGCUUCUCUAUGACAUUGGAGCUAGCUUUGGAUCGUCUGAGCUUGUCGCUGCUAUUGUGAAGAAGACAAAGCUCAAGGAUGUAGCAUUAGGUGACAGAUGGAUGGUAAACAACCAGCUGGAAAAAAGUAAGAGGCAAAAUCCCCAGAUGUAAUGGCUCUAAAAGUCAUGGAUGGUGGCAGCACCUGGAAGUGCAUUAAAUAUAAUAUAAUAAUAUAAUAAAUACAUAAAUUAUAAUGUAAUAAAUAAUGAAUGUCAACGAA